AUUGAACGCUGGCGGUAUGCUUAACACAUGCAAGUCGAACGGCAGCAUGGACUGUAGCAAUACAGUUUGAUGGCGAGUGGCGGACGGGUGAGUAACGCGUAGGGAUCUGCCCUAUAGAGGGGGAUAACCCGGGGAAACUCGGGCUAAUACCGCAUAAUACUCUGAGGAGGAAAGCUGGGCGCAAUCCUGGCGCUAUGGGAGGAACCGGCGUCCGAUUAGUUAGCUGGUGAGGUAAAGGCUCACCAGGGCGAUGAUCGGUAGCUGGUCUGAGAGGAUGACCAGCCACACUGGGACUGAGACACGGCCCAGACUCCUACGGGAGGCAGCAGUGGGGAAUAUUGGACAAUGGGGGCAACCCUGAUCCAGCAAUACCGCGUGUGUGAAGAAGGCCUUCGGGUUGUAAAGCACUUUGGACGGGGAAGAAGGGAUGGUGUUUAAGAGAUGCCAUUUUUGACGGUACCCGUAGAACAAGCACCGGCUAACUCUGUGCCAGCCGCCGCGGUAA
rnacentral:rRNA from 1 species